rnacentral:rRNA from 1 species
AGUGAACGCUGGCGGUAGGCCUAACACAUGCAAGUCGAACGGCAGCACAGGAGAGCUUGCUCUCUGGGCGGCGAGUGGCGGACGGGUGAGGAAUACAUCGGAAUCUACUCUGUCGUGGGGGAUAACGUAGGGAAACUUACGCUAACACCGCAUACGACCUACGGGUGAAAGCAGGGGAUCUUCGGACCUUGCGCGAUUGAAUGAGCCGAUGUCGGAUUAGCUAGUUGGCGGGGUAAAGGCCCACCAAGGCGACGAUCCGUAGCUGGUCUGAGAGGAUGAUCAGCCACACUGGAACUGAGACACGGUCCAGACUCCUACGGGAGGCAGCAGUGGGGAAUAUUGGACAAUGGGCGCAAGCCUGAUCCAGCCAUACCGCGUGGGUGAAGAAGGCCUUCGGGUUGUAAAGCCCUUUUGUUGGGAAAGAAAUCCAGCUGGCUAGUACCCGGUUGGGAUGACGGUACCCAAAGAAUAAGCACCGGCUAACUUCGUGCCAGCCGCCGCGGUAA